rnacentral:rRNA from 1 species
AGAGUUUGAUCCUGGCUCAGGAUGAACGCUGGCGGCGUGCCUAACACAUGCAAGUCGUACGAGCUCGAUCUUCGGAACGGGUUAGUGGCGCACGGGUGAGUAACACGUAGGUGACCUACCCCAGAGUGGGGGAUAACUUCUCGAAAGAGAGGCUAAUACCGCAUACACUCGGUCAUUCAUUUGGCCGAGCAAAGCUCCGGCGCUUUGGGACGGGCCUGCGUCCGAUUAGCUAGUUGGUAGGGUAAUGGCUUACCAAGGCUUUGAUCGGUAGCUGGUCUGAGAGGACGAUCAGCCACACUGGCACUGACACACGGGCCAGACUCCUACGGGAGGCAGCAGUGAGGAAUAUUGGGCAAUGGGCGAAAGCCUGACCCAGCAACGCCGCGUGAGGGAUGAAGGCCUUCGGGUUGUAAACCUCUUUUCUGGGAGAGGAGACAAGGACGGUAUCCCAGGAAUAAGUCUCGGCUAACUACGUG